rnacentral:rRNA from 1 species
UACGUAGGGACCAAGCGUUGUUCGGAUUUACUGGGCGUAAAGGGCGCGUAGGCGGCGUAACAAGUCACUUGUGAAAUCUCUGAGCUUAACUCAGAACGGCCAAGUGAAACUGUUAUGCUAGAGUGCAGAAGGGGCAAUCGGAAUUCUUGGUGUAGCGGUGAAAUGCGUAGAUAUCAAGAGGAACACCUGAGGUGAAGACGGGUUGCUGGGCUGACACUGACGCUGAGGCGCGAAAGCCAGGGGAGCAAACGGG